rnacentral:lncRNA from 1 species
AAAAGGCUGGAUGCCUGUUUCCAGCUCUGUCAGAAGGCUGGUGGGUUAGGACAGUGACUCACAAGGUGGGAAGGGGCUGCAGAGAGCCCAGGCCUGGAGCUGGCAAGGGCUUCAUGCAGGGCUCCCAGGAGAGCAGGGCUUCCCCCUGGCGGCCCUCAGGAGGUGUCAGCCACAUCUGUGUUGUGGCUUUUGCCCAGGACCAGUGGAUCCUCACAGCCCACAUGACCAGCCUGGGUCUACCAGAGGGAGCCACAGCAUUGUCGAGGAUCUGAAGGUGGCCUGCUGAAUGUAGAGGACGUGUGGAAUGUUUGCUCUGCGGAGACCCCGGCCUGCUUCCCACAGCUGGAGCCCAGGCCCUGCGGGCUUCUGCAGGAGGGUCCACAUGGACAUAUGUCUCCCAAGACGACUCCUCAUCAGGACUCAAGGACGCUUGUCAGGGGACCUGGGGGUGUCAGAAUGACCGACAGCCCGGCCUGACGUUGGGGUUUGCAGCGCAUGCAGCUAUCCUCUCCUGAACUCUCCCCACAGGCUGCAGGGACAGCAGGAGAGACGUCAUUCUGCUCCACAUUCAGUGAGUAUCCUUGAA